rnacentral:rRNA from 1 species
GACGAACGCUGGCGGCGUGCCUAAUACAUGCAAGUUGAGCGAUGAAGAUUGGUGCUUGCACCAAUUUGAAGAGCAGCGAACGGGUGAGUAACGCGUGGGGAAUCUGCCUUUGAGCGGGGGACAACAUUUGGAAACGAAUGCUAAUACCGCAUAACAACUUUAAACAUAAGUUUUAAGUUUGAAAGAUGCAAUUGCAUCACUCAAAGAUGAUCCCGCGUUGUAUUAGCUAGUUGGUGAGGUAAAGGCUCACCAAGGCGAUGAUACAUAGCCGACCUGAGAGGGUGAUCGGCCACAUUGGGACUGGGACACGGCCCAAACUCCUACGGGAGGCAGCAGUAGGGAAUCUUCGGCAAUGGACGAAAGUCUGACCGAGCAACGCCGCGUGAGUGAAGAAGGGUUUCGGAUCGUAAAACUCUGUUGGUAGAGAGGAACGUUGGUGAGAGUGGAAAGCUCAUCAAGUGACGGUAACUACCCAGAAAGGGACGGCUAACUACGUG